CUGCUACUGAGGAGUCCCACAAUAGGACGAAACGGCCGUUCAGUGC
rnacentral:hammerhead_ribozyme from 1 species